CUGGCCUUUAUUUUUAAAAUAUUUCAUACAGACAUUUUUGCAUAUCAUUACAUAUAUCUACUUCAUCCAUUUAAAUGAUUUAGCCAUUAGUAUUCCAUUGUUUGCACAGUAGCUUAGGCUACUAAUCCUCUAGUUAGACUUUCAGGUGAUUUCCAGUUUUGUCUCAUUUUAUUUUUGCCAUCUGAAGCAACCAAUAUAAAUCCCUCUCCUUUGUAUACUUACUUGUUUGUUUCUUAGAAUAAAUUCCUAAAAUAGAAUUUCUGAGUGAAAUGGCUUGUACUUUUAAAACAUGUUACCAAAUUUAUCUCUAGCAAGAAAGUGUGACUUUAUUGUUUCACCAACAGUGCCCAUUUCCUUACACCUCUUGCCAAUACUAUUAUCAAUCUUUUUAAAAUGUACCAAACUGAGAAUUUUAAAAAACCCUUGUUGAUGUUUUAUUUUGCAUUUUAGUUACAUUAAAUAUCUUGGGAUUUACAUUUUAAUAGAUUGUUUCUAUAACAUAACAAUUACAAUGCUUGUAAUAAUUUGCAAUAAUCAGAAAUAAAAAUUUCUUUCUUUCUUUUUUUUCUUUUUUGAGAUGGAGUUUUGAUCUUUUUGCCCAGGCUGGCGUGCAAUGGUGCAGUCUUGGCUCACUGCAAUGUCUGCCUGCCGGGUUCAGGUGAUUUUCCUGCCUCACCCUCCCGAUUAUCUGGGAUUACAGGUGCCCGCCACCACGCCUGGCUAGGUUUUUUUUUGUUGUUUUUUUUUUUUUGUAUUUUUAGUAGAGAUGGGUUUCACCAUGUUGAUCAGGCUGGUCUCGAACUCCUGACCUCAGGUAAUCCACCUGCCUCCGCCUCCCAAAAUGCUGGGAUUACAGGUGUGAGCCACUGCGGUUGGCCAGAAAUAAGCAUUUCUUGAUGUAACUGAGAAGUUAAAAGUACUCCAAUCACAAAAUAUCUAUAAAUUCAUAACAAAACUAGGUGAAAAUCAACCUGUUACCACAUCUGCAGAUUCCAUUAGAAUUAAGUUCAGUAUGUCUUUUCAUCACGUGAAACAGACAUAAUAAGUCACAUAGAAGAAAUUACAAAUUAAGAUAUUCCUUAAGGGCUCUAGCUUUAGAACUUUGUGAAUAAAAUUUAGAUCAACAUUUUCUUUUUUUAAGGUCAUGAUUUGGGCCCAGAGGAAAAACCAUAGGAAAACAAAUAGAAAACUUUUGACCGACACAUUAUUAUUAUUAUUAUUAUUAUUAUUAUUAUUAUUAUUAUUAUUUGAGAUGGAGUCUGGCUCUUGUCGCCCAGGCUGGAGUGCAAUGGCAUGAUUUCGGCUCACUGCAACCUUUGCCUCCUGGGUUUAAGUGAUUCUCGUGCCUCAGCCUCCCAAGUAGCUGGGAUUAUUAGACACCCACCACCAUGUCUGGCUAAUUUUUGUCUUUUCAGUAGAGAUGGGUUUCACCAUGUUGGCCAGGGGCUGGUCUCGAACUCCUGACCUCAUCUGCCCACCUCGGCCUCCCGAAGUGCUGGGAUUACAGGCAUGAGCCACCGUGCCUGGCCCAGACACAUUAUUGUUUGGCCAUAUAUGUAUUAUAUUUUGUAGUUAGUGCAUCACAGACCAUCUAACAUGAUAGACAUUUGGCAGGAUACUCUGGCACACUAGUAAAAUCCCAUUAAAUUCCUCUUUGUCUCCCCCACAUGCAUGUGUGACAACAUUCAGAAGAGGGCACAAAAUAUAUAAAAUAGUGAACACUGCUUGCCAAAUGAUGCAUAAUUGCUUUCAGUCCCGUACAUUUCCAUUGAGAUCCAACCAUAUAUGGCGAGGAAGAAACCAGCACAAUUUUCAAAAGUGCUUGCGCAUGGUAGCUAAACUCCUCAGCAUGGCACCCACACCAGCCAUCAAGGAGUGAGAGUCACUUCUAUGCCCCAUAAAUCAGAAGACUUUACUGGUUUCUAAUUUGUGGGGUAGACAUUUAGACUCAUCAUAUUUGCAUUUUACUGCUUCAUAAUCUGGUAUAUGAAAUAGAUUGCUAGGUGGCUAAGUUUGCUUUUCAGGGAGAAUUUAAAAUGCAACACAAUAUGCAUCAUUAUCCAUGCUCAGGAGGCCAUGGCACUUAAAAUAUGGCACAGUUAUAUGUGAAACAUUCUACAGAAGUCCACACUCAGAGAUUUGAGCAUGUCACCUACUCCAUCAUCCUGAUGUUUUGUGUUGUUGCCAUAAAAUUGUGCAAGGUGCCAAUGAGCCUUAUAGUUCUGUUAUACCACAAAUCAGACUGUAUGUGCAGACUAUGCAUACAGAUAAUGUGGAAAAAAAGAAAACCCUUGUGUUUUCUUUGGAGCAAGACAUAAAAAGCAGAAAGAAUUUGAAAUUCUCUUGAAAGCUGUAAAAGUAGGCUUGACAGUCACUGGGCUCAUCCAGUUUGAAGGCAGAGCACAGGACUGAAUGACCUCACUCAUCAUUCUGUAGCUCUGGGAAACAGAGUCUGUCAACUGAAACUCUUAGUAAAAAAGUAUACCCUUCAAUAAAAGUCCAUAGGAUGGAUUGAAAAAUACCCCUGGCUUUCAUAUAAGUUGAAAACAUAAGCCAGGUGCAAUGGCUCACACCAACACUUUGGGAGGCCAAGGCAAAAGGAUCAUUUGAGGCCAGGAAUUUGAGACCAGCCUGGGCAACAUAGUGAGAUCCU
rnacentral:lncRNA from 10 species